GACGAACGCUGGCGGCAAGCUUAACACAUGCAAGUCGAACGCCGUAGCAAUACGGAGUGGCAGACGGGUGAGUAACACGUGGGAACGUGCCUUUCGGCUCGGAACAACUGAGGGAAACUUCAGCUAAAACCGGAUACGCCCUUCGGGGGAAAGUUUACGCCGAAAGAUCGGCCCGCGUCAGAUUAGGUAGUUGGCGGGGUAAUGGCCCACCAAGCCGAUGAUCUGUAGCUGUUCUGAGAGGAAGAUCAGCCACACUGGGACUGAGGCACGGCCCAGACUCCUACGGGAGGCAGCAGUGGGGAAUAUUGGACAAUGGGCGCAAGCCUGAUCCAGCUAUGCCGCGUGGAUGAAGAAGGCCUUCGGGUUGUAAAGUCCUUUCGGCGGGGAAGAUAAUGACGGUACCCGCAGAAGAAGCCCCGGCUAAUUUCGUGCCAGCCGCCGCGGUAAUAC
rnacentral:rRNA from 1 species